rnacentral:rRNA from 1 species
AACGAACGCUGGCGGCAGGCCUAACACAUGCAAGUCGAGCGAGGACUUCGGUUCUAGCGGCGGACGGGUGAGUAACGCGUGGGAAUGUGCCCUUCUCUACGGAAUAGCCCUGGGAAACUGGGAGUAAUACCGUAUACGCCCUUUUGGGGAAAGAUUUAUCGGAGAAGGAUCAGCCCGCGUUGGAUUAGGUAGUUGGUGGGGUAAUGGCCUACCAAGCCGACGAUCCAUAGCUGGUUUGAGAGGAUGAUCAGCCACACUGGGACUGAGACACGGCCCAGACUCCUACGGGAGGCAGCAGUGGGGAAUCUUAGACAAUGGGGGCAACCCUGAUCUAGCCAUGCCGCGUGAGUGAUGAAGGCCUGAGGGUUGUAAAGCUCUUUCAGCUGGGAAGAUAAUGACGGUACCAGCAGAAGAAGCCCCGGCUAACUCCGU